AAGUCGUAACAAGGUUUCCGUAGGUGAACCUGCGGAAGGAUCAUUAAUUACGAAAGCUAUAGCCCCUUCGGGGGUUAUUGCAUCCACCCUUUGUCUACUUGUACCUCUUGUUGUUUCCUCGGCAGGCUUGCCUGCCGUUAGGAACCCCUUAAACUCUUGUAUUUACAGUAUUAAAAUCUCUGAUAACUAUUUAAAUUAUUACAACUUUCAACAAUGGAUCUCUUGGUUCUG
rnacentral:misc_RNA from 1 species